rnacentral:rRNA from 1 species
GAUGAACGCUAGCUACAGGCUUAACACAUGCAAGUCGAGGGGAAACGACAUCGAAAGCUUGCUUUUGAUGGGCGUCGACCGGCGCACGGGUGAGUAACGCGUAUCCAACCUGCCCACCACUUGGGGAUAGCCUUGCGAAAGUAAGACUAAUACCCAAUGAUAUCUCUAGAAGACAUCUGAAAGAGAUUAAAGAUUUAUCGGUGAUGGAUGGGGAUGCGUCUGAUUAGCUUGUCGGCGGGGUAACGGCCCACCAAGGCUACGAUCAGUAGGGGUUCUGAGAGGAAGGUCCCCCACAUUGGAACUGAGACACGGUCCAAACUCCUACGGGAGGCAGCAGUGAGGAAUAUUGGUCAAUGGACGGGAGUCUGAACCAGCCAAGUAGCGUGCAGGAUGACGGCCCUAUGGGUUGUAAACUGCUUUUAUAAGGGAAUAAAGUGAGUCUCGUGAGACUUUUUGCAUGUACCUUAUGAAUAAGGACCGGCUAAUUCCGUGCCAGCCGCCGCAGUAA